AGCUCCAAUAGCGUAUACUAAAGUUGUUGCAGUUAAAAAGCUCGUAGUUGAAUUUCUGGUUUCGGAACGCGGUCAGCUCCAAGGAGUUUGUACCAGCGGAUCGGAACCAUCCUCGGGGAGAACAUAUCUGCCAUUAAGUUGGUGGGUAUGGGACCCUCGUCAUUUACUGUGAGCAAAAUAGAGUGUUCAAAGCAGGCUUACGCCGUUGAAUACAUUAGCAUGGAAUAAUAAGAUAGGACCUUGGUCUAUU
rnacentral:rRNA from 1 species